GGCCUGGUGGCCUAGUGGUAUGAUUCCUUCUUAGGGCUAUCAAGCGUUUGGAGGCGGUCCCGGGUUCAAUUCCCGGCCAAGCUC